rnacentral:rRNA from 1 species
GAUGAACGCUGGCGGCGUGCCUAAUACAUGCAAGUCGAGCGAACAGACGAGGAGCUUGCUCCUCUGACGUUAGCGGCGGACGGGUGAGUAACACGUGGAUAACCUACCUAUAUGACUGGGAUAACUUCGGGAAACCGGAGCUAAUACCGGAUAAUAUAUUGAACCGCAUGGUUCAAUAGUGAAAGACGGUUUUGCUGUCACUUAUAGAUGGAUCCGCGCCGCAUUAGCUAGUUGGUAAGGUAACGGCUUACCAAGGCAACGAUGCGUAGCCGACCUGAGAGGGUGAUCGGCCACACUGGAACUGAGACACGGUCCAGACUCCUACGGGAGGCAGCAGUAGGGAAUCUUCCGCAAAGGGCGAAAGCCUGACGGAGCAACGCCGCGUGAGUGAUGAAGGUCUUCGGAUCGUAAAACUCUGUUAUUAGGGAAGAACAAAUGUGUAAGUAACUAUGCACGUCUUGACGGUACCUAAUCAGAAAGCCACGGCUAACUACGUG